CUGAUGAUUGAAGGUCGAAGGGUCAGAUUUUAUGCAGGGACCCUUCUGGGCAGCCCUUUGGAGGCUGCUUUCUUCUUGGCACCUACAUUUAACUUCAGCUGUCUCUCCCUAUUCCACCUUCCUGAAGUGGUCCAUCCUAUGCCCUUCUCAUAUUGGACUUCCAUCUUCUCUCCUGCACUUCUUGCUGGGGAAUCCUAAAAGGUGGGAACAAAAGAGAGAAAUAAAGAAAUGACCUAACUGAAA